UUGCUACACAGUUAAAAGCCAUUUUAUGGUUGUGCGUAAACUCUACGCCGUAGCUACGCUGUCGCUCCUACGACGUUGUGACCUUUUCGGAGUUCUGCGUCGGGUGUAUUGGGAGU